AAACACUGGCUCAGUAAGGACAUUAGUCUUAGUCUGACGAACUCACGCCUCUCUCAUCGUAUCUCUCACGACCUAUGGGAGUCCUAAAGUAUUCGUCUAUGUUCUUUCCAACUAAUUAUAUUAUCUCUAUCCAUCAUCAUAACUAAUGAAAUACAAACACGUCACACAUAUUCAAUCACAUAAAUACACAUAUAAGCACAUAACAUAUUUUCUCUUGAAAUCGAGAGCUUUACAACGAAAUAUGGUUUUGUUUCAAAAACUGCUUAAAAAUCAUUAUGGGAGUCAUUCUUGUAAUUUAAUUCACAAUUUACUUGCGAAUCCAAUUUAGGCAAAAAGUCCCUUUCUUUUAAAAACAUAAUUUCUUUUAAAAUCUUUUGAAAAUCGUUUUUCUUCCAAAAUAAUUUUUAUGCGUAGAUGCGUAUGACGGGAUCCCUAUCAAAACCCUAACGUAAGCAUCGACAAUAGACGUUUUUAUACUGAGCCCGGUCUUUGGUGAGAGCUACCCACCCUGCAGUCUAUAGUAACUUGUCGUUUUGGGAUACCGGCCCGCCGUAUCCCGUGUCUAUUCAUCGGAGCAACGUUACCGUUUCGACUCUUCUAUACUAGACCAUGCAACCAUUUAAUGACUCGAGGAAUGCACGUAAUUUGAAGAUCUUAAUGCACCAUUCAAAUAAACAGUAAUAAUUUCAAGUACGUCAUUCACAUAAUUCGAAGGAGUUAAAUCACAUAACUUGAUAAUCAAAUCAUAAAAUUCGGAAGCAAUUUCCGAAACAAUAGUAAGAACGUGUAGAUCAAACAUUAGUAAUAAAAACACAUAUACUUUUACACGUAUAUACACAUAGGUACUUAUACGUAUAUAUACUUAUACAUAUAUGUAUAUACUCUAAUUUAUAACUAUGGGCUAUAAGUUUCCUCAACCCGAAGGGAGUACGCCUAUAACAUCAUAGGUCUAAACUAUCGAUAUACAUAUACAUAUACUUAUAUAUAUACAUACUUAUACCUCAUAAAAGUAAAACACAUUAUUCAAAUAAUCAUCAUGAAUUUCAAUAUUUCACAUAAUACCUAUUCAAAGGACUAUAGAAAAUCAAAUCUAGUAGAAGUACUAGAACAUAGAAAGUUUCAAGAACAACUUAUAGUUCUAAAUAUAUACUAGUCUUUGUAUCUUACUUAUAACUACUCUAAUAAUGGUUCUCUCGAUGUAACAUCAUAACCUAUAUUCAUUACCAUAUUAAGUCAUGUCUCAAGAGUUUAAAUCAUGCUCACAAAGGACCCCUUUAAUUCAAAGAAAUUCGUUUUUAGGAAAAUCGGACAGUUUUGACACCUUAACUUUGAAAAUACAUUUCUCUUAGACCAUAACUUCAAAAAUUCUGAAACUUUGACACAAUACUCCUGUAUGAGUCUACAAGACUGCUUUAAAACAGUGUUCCAAAAUAACUAGUAGACUAAGAGAAAUGAGUAAAACAGUGCAGGAGUGUGGUCACACUCUCAGAAACAAAACCAACCACUUUGAAAAUACCCAAUAAAUCACCCUUUUGUUAAAACAAUGUAGGACUUUGCAGAAAACUGGUUUUAUAAGUUAUAAAUAUAUUCCAAGUGGAAUCAAGGAAAUCAAACUAGGAAAACAUCGAUUUUAAAAGCAAAUCCUCAGCUGACUCAAAAACUGUGCAGGUUUAGUAAAUAAUUCAUAUCUUAAUCAUCUGAAAUCCGAUUGAUGAUUAAAAUAUAUCAAUUUAAAGAAGACAGAAAGAUCUAGUUACCCAUGAAAUUUUGUGAUUUUAUGAAAACAGGGCAUCUGUGUAACAUGCAGUAAACUCCGAGGCUGAGAACCUGAAAAUUCAUUAGUAAUCUAUAUCUACAUCUUUGAUCAAAACAGAUCUGGCAGUUUAGGCACUAUAACUUCAGAAAUUCAUAUCUCCUAAACCGUAGAUCCAAAGCUGAUGAAAUUUGGAACACAUAUUCAUAUCUAAGUCUAGUUUAUAGGGUUAAAACAUUUUAUGAAGAAACUUAUCUAUGUAAGAGAUAUAAUCAAUUUAGUGCAGUAACAUAAGCAGAAUUUCAGAACAGAUCCACUAACUUUAAAAAUACUAAUUAAUUCAUACCUUUACUUAAAAAAUACCAAAUUUUGUGGGAAGUCAGUUUCAUAAGUUUAUAAUCAUAUUCAAGUGGAAUCAACUAAAUAAGAUUAGUAUAAAACGCUAUUUAACACAUAAUUCGUGGAUGACUCCGAAACUGUGCAGAUUCAGAAAACGAUUCAUAACUCACUCAAUACAAAUCCGAUUUAUGCAUCAUUUAUAUCAACAUGAAGCUAACCGAAAGAUCUAGACUACCACCAAAUUUCAUAAUUUUAUCUUAGGGAUUACCCGAUGAGACAUGCAAUACAAUCAGAAGCCACGAAACUGAAAUUCAAGUAGUGUUCAUCAAGAACUUUAUCUUCUAAAGCUCAAAAUUAAAACCUCAAACAUAAAAUUCAUUAAAACUCAUAUAAUUUAUAUUAAUUAAGUUAUUAUUUCAGUAAAGACCAAGGUCCUUACCCAAGAGCAAGAAAUCGAAGAUGAAGGAGUAAGAAAACCAAAGGCUCGGUGGAUUUUCGGCGGGUUUGGCUUGGAUGUUCUUGGAUGGCUUUGGGGCUGAGUUUGAAGGAUGUGAAGGGGCUGUUGCUUGAAGAUAGAAGAUGGAGUUUCUCUUUUGGAGAGGAGGAGAGGAAUCGAAGAGAGAAGAGGAAGGGGCUUUGAUGGGAGCUUCUUGACUCGAAGGGGAAGAAGAGAAUUCUUCUUUGGGGCUGUUUUUGCUCGAUGGAGAGGGAGAGGAGAGGGCCUUUUGGCUGAUGUUUUGGUGUGAAGAGAAUGUGAAGAGGAGGGGUUUAUUUAUAGGGUAGAUGAGGCCCUUAUAUGCAAUAUAAAAGACAUUGGGGUUUUAUUAGCAAUUUGGGAGAAAAAUACCUUGGGGGCUCCUUGGCAAUAUAGAAGAGAAGAGGGGAGUCUUUAGUAAUUAUUAAACUAAGGGAGUAAUUCACUUUCCCUCACACACAACACACGGCACUUUCACAAAACACAAAGCACAUGUACACACAACACUUAUACAUAUACACAUCUAUACAUAAAUAAAUCCUAGCACAUAUAAUAUAUCAUAUCAUAAACAUACACAUUCACAUAAUAUGACAUACAUAAUUAAGUCUACAUCAUAUACUAUAUAUUAACAUAAAAUAUAUAUGCACAUAUAUAAUCCCAAUUAUCAUGACUUACAUAGAUGGUCACUUAAUUCAUUAAAUCUCACAAUUAGAAUCAACUACUCAAUUAAUAAAAAGUCUACUUCUAAAAAUACUAUAAUGUAUCUAAAUCACAUAAACACAUAGAGACGUAUAAAUUGCUACGCGGUUCAUGAAAUGCAUGUAUAUUCGUAUUUACUAUAUGUUCAAUAUAAUCAUAUAUAAAUGCUUAUGAAAAUGCGGGCUGUUACAAUCUUCCCCCCUUAAAUAAAUUUUGUCCUCAAAAUUUGAAAAAAAUUCCCGUAAAAGACGAUGAGACCAAGUUACAAAAUAGCGUUUCUUGAAUAGGGGGUUAACAAUAAUUAGGAAAACGUCUUCCUAUCUUUUCAAAAGUUCGCCUUGAUUCCAAAAUAUUUUGUAAAUAAAUAGGAAACAUGCUUCUUGUAAAAAUUCCGGUAAGAGUUUUAGCACGACUAUGAUAGCUUUUAGGGAAAAUAGUAACCGAGUCGAGUUGAAAAUUCUAAUUUUCAUAAAAACAAAACCUAAAUUUGAAAUAUUUUAAAAAAAUUCUCUUACCUUCUUUUGAAAUGUUUUGAACCUCUCUGGGCCGUAUGAUAUGAAUGCAUCGUAUGAUAUGCAACAGAUUUUAUCUAAUCCUUAUAUGCAGAUAAGGUUGACAUGAACCUACAGUAUCAUAAACCCAUAAACACCUAACAUGCAAGACAUGAUAUAGUUUAAGUGAGUAAAUCCAUUUAUACCACGAACUAAAACAAGUUCUAAACCAGUUAGUUGUAAUUUUGUAGAUAGAUAGAUUUGCACAUACGUAAAUCAGAAAAUAAAUUCACUGCCAACUUCAAAGUUAUACAUUUCUAGACAACGUAUUUCCUACACACCAAAAGUUUGCAUGCAUUUUUGAAAAUAUGCAAGUAAAAUUAAUAUGCUUUGCAUGUAUUUUGUGAAUGCGCCACAUAAGUUUCACACAAGAUACAUAUCAACUUCGAUACAUGGCAUCGCAUAUAUCCACAUAGAUUCUACCACAAAUGCUAGAUGCAAACUAUAAUCUAAAAUGCACUCACAUGAUUCAUAUAGCAAGAAUUUAACCUUCAAGCUUUUAACCGAAAACUAACACGGUUAUCAAAAAGAUCAAUUAUAUUCUAAAUUUCUACCCAUGCGUAUCUUAGAAACAAAAACUCUUUCAAACCCUUCGCUUAAACGAAACAUCAAAAUUCAGAAUCUUUCUACAUCCAAAUAUUAUUAAGCAUUCAUCUGUUUUAGAAAAAUCAAACUUUCCAAAAUCAUCAUUUGAAAAAUAAUUUCUAUAAUUGAUCCUUCCAAAAGAGUCAACAAAAGUGCUUACCAUGCAAGUGAAUAAUUUCAUUCUGAUGCACAUAAAUCACUUAGGGAUGUGGCAUGUGACUCAAACAUAUCAUAAAAUGCGUGAAACUCACUACCAAAGAACACAUUAUUCAUAAAAUCUAAUUUCAAUUCACAACUCCGAGAUAAAGUCAGGUAAUCAUAUAAUCCUACCGCUAACUUCGAAUAUUUAAAUUUCAAAAUCCAAAGUAUAAUAAUUUACUAAGAAACCUUAACUAUACACAAGUACACCUAGCUCACAUUAUUUCACAUAAUCAAAAUAGCAAUUAUCGAAAUCUAAGGGCAAUUAGCUCAAUUAGAUUCUAUAAAUACUUAGUGUGGUUUAAGCACAAUAUUCUCAAAUCAAAAUUAUCAAUCAAAUUCAUCGAUAGGAAUCUUCACAAAUAAUUUAGUCACACACAUGCAAUUACUAAGAAGGUCGAAUAUCAUAGGUGCAAUAGCAUACACAUACAGGUAUACUAGAUAGUAUGAGAUUAAUUAAAUUAAUCCACACACUUAGACAAAUCAUAAUUCAUAUAUAUCAAUUUUAAAUUGCACACAAAUACUGAAUUUGUAACAAGAGUCCAUCAUACUUUGUCAUAUACAUGUCACAUAAUGUUAAUAGCACACUUAGUCAAUUAUUUCAAGAAAUCGAACAUAUAAUAAUCGAACACAUAGAUUAAUAAAGAUUUGGACAUAAGACAAGAGCUAGUGAGAAAUCUAUAGCACAUCACAUAAUUCUUUACAGAUGAAAUUCACGAAGAUGUAAAGUGACCUUAAAAUAAUUUGAAUUAAACUUCAUCGAGGGAUAGCAUGCUUAAUUCUCACAUUCGCAUUGUUCAAGUAUGUUCAAGUAAACCAGGAUUAAUGCGAUCUAGUCUUAUAUAUUUCAAUUCAAGUAGACUACCACAAAAUUUGACUCUACCAAUCGGGCAUAUAAGUAAAAAUGUGGUACAAUAUUCACGAUUUAUCACUUAACAUAUAAGGUACACAUAAAUAAUUAUUUAUACACCCAGUAAUUCAAUUGCUAUACUCCUAGAUCAUCAAGUCCAUUCAAAAUAAGUUACAGACAACAAUUCAUACCAAGCACUUUAUUCAAGUAACUUCAGGAAAUAUUCAAGAAAACGAGUUUCUCCUAUCAAGAGAAUUUAUUUUUAAAUUAAAAAUUCGACUUAGUGAAAGUCUGAAAGUUUUAUUGAAAAUUCUGACUUGAUUGAAAAAUGUGUUAUAUUCCUAAAACUUCGAAAAUUCAAUUCAUUACACAAUCAUCAUGACUUCAGAUCUUCAAAUUAAACAAACAUGCAUAAUCAACAAGCACAAAGGUAGAGCAUAAAUCAAAUAUUUUAUUAGUUAAACAAAAUCUCAAAUACUUCCCAAAAUUAUUUUAUGGAAACGAAUAUUUUUCAAUACACUAAAUAAUCUCACAUGCAAAUCUCAAUCAACGUAUAGCAUGGAAUAUUCAAAGAAUGUUCGAAUCACUUAACCAAUUAUAAAUCACAUAAGAUUUAGUUUUAAAUCAGAAAGUAAAAUACCAAAAUUUUCGAGGUACUUAUCUCAAGUAUUCGAUCAACAAUAUGGCAUACACAAAAGUACAUAAACCUUCAAAAUCAUAUAAAUUAUCUAUACCUCAUUAUCUACAUUACGUAGUGUAAUUAGGAGAUUGUAAAUCUUACUAAGGUCAACUUGAGAUAUAGUCAAUGAGUAAACUUAUAUAAAAUUCUAAGUUCUCUAAUUCAAGUCUCCUUAACUAAGAAUCAUACCUUAUUACUUAGGCCGGGAAUCGGAGGAGGAAUCACAUGUGCCUUGAGCCAUAACGAGGAACCCAGUGUAUUAAACACUGCUCUGAUACCAUGUUGUAGCACCCUCAAUGAUUUAAAAGAAAUUCUAGAAAAUACGGACUUUAUUAAAAACUUUUGGAACAAUUUGAACUUUGAGAAAAACCACUUUAAAAUUUUAGAACCAUUUCCCUUUACUUCAAAUCUGACCCACAAUCGGAAAAUAAGAUUUUUCAUAGAGAGUGUACCAUAACAUGAACGGGAAUUUGAAAAUAAUCUUGAGGUGACGGAAUAAUCCACAUAAAACAUCACCGGGGUUUAGAAAACACUCGUAAGACAGCGGAAGGAAAUAAACUUUAUUUAAGAUACCCCCGUCUAAUAGACUGGGUUCCAAUCAGAGUACAAAAUAAGAUUAUACUAUGUGAUUAGUUUUUCGAUAAAACGUUGCGUAGAAAAUACGAGUAAAAUAAUCUAGGCACCAAGGCUCGUGAUUCUUCGAACUCCUUUCCGCCGGCCUCCUACAUAGCUUGGAGAACCUGAAAAGAUAAUUUGCAUAAAAGCAUGAGCCCAAACACUGGCUCAGUAAGGACAUUAGUCUUAGUCUGACGAACUCACGCCUCUCUCAUCGUAUCUCUCACGACCUAUGGGAGUCCUAAAGUAUUCGUCUAUGUUCUUUCCAACUAAUUAUAUUAUCUCUAUCCAUCAUCAUAACUAAUGAAAUACAAACACGUCACACAUAUUCAAUCACAUAAAUACACAUAUAAGCAC
rnacentral:lncRNA from 1 species